rnacentral:misc_RNA from 1 species
UUUCCGUAGGUGAACCUGCGGAAGGAUCAUUAUUGGAUUUUGAAACUUCAGGCUGCUGCUGGCUCUCCUCGGAGGGCAUGUUCACGCUUGUUGUCCAUUAUUUCUCCCACUGUGCACAAAUUGUAGACCUUUCAGUAGGCCUAUGUUGUUUUUCACAAUCUCUGAAUGUAAUAGAAUGGUUUUGAAUCUUGGGAAAUACAAUACAACUUUCAGCAACGGAUCUCUUGGCUCUC